CUACAUUUUCGCAUUUUCCCGCUUAUUGCUUCUUUCCUUAGUUUCUCUACUCCUUCCCUUCUCUGAUUCUCUGGGCGCAAAAUUUAACACUCACAACACACCGAACGAGUCGUCGCUGCUGUUCCCCACCGCGGUGUCGCCGCUAUUGUUCCCCCACCGUCGCGUCGUCGCUGCUGUUCCCCCACCGCCGCUGCUCAUUCCCCUCUCUGGUUCUUUGCGUCCUAGUUUUAAUUCUAGCUUCUUCCAGAUCGAAUUAAUUCAGUUGGGGCUUCUUCGUUGUUACCUUCUUUCUCCUUGGGCGAUUGCGACCAUGACAUCAAAAUUCUAAUAUGAAGAUUGAGGGAUUUGUCCAGCAGUGUCACAUUUUCUUCCAAAUCUGCUAUUCUUGGUGUGAAGAAUGCAACCACAAAGCUUGAGAAGUUGAAGUUUUCUGAUGGUCAACAUGUCAUCAUACCGCAGCAUAUCCAAGUCCAUGAUUCCGUAAAGAAUGUAUUAAUCUUUGGAAGCCUUGAUGCAAGUUUUGGGGUCGGGGAGAACUGUGUAGUAGACGGUGAAAGCAAUGGGAGCUUUAACUCUGUUACCGAUUCAGUUCACGAGGAACCUGUCAGUGAGCUUUCUUUAUGUGUGCAUAUCAGUUUCAGUGGCUUAAGUCUACUAUUCAAGGUAUUCAAUAAUCCGAGGGAGCGGCCUUUCACCUUUGAGGAGAUAGAUGAAGUUCAAGAAAUGUUGGCAAAUUUCAUUACCAGUGAUUGUCUUUGAUAUUUUCUUGUAAUGAAUCUUAAAUUAUGUAUUCUAGCUAGUUUUUCACAUGAUUUUAAUGUAAUCGACUUUUAUAUUUACAA